AUGUGUUUUUUCAGGUCCCCCCUAAGGCCGAAUCCUUUGUUGCACUCGGAGCAGCUAUAUGGUUUUCCACCAGCGCUAACAGGAACAUCAUUGUUCUUCAGAAAGUUUAAACCUGACUGUGGUUCUCUGGUCUCCUUCCAAAAGUCACUGUCGUCAGUCUCGGGUUCGGAAGAGUCUCCGGGCACUGGUUCUGGUCUUCCACAGUCCUCUCCAUCAGCUUGUGUUUGAUGAAGCUGUGAAGACUGAGGUUUCUCUUCAUCAUCUUCACUCUUCACAGGGACAGGAGUGAAUG